rnacentral:rRNA from 1 species
UACGAAGGGGGCUAGCGUUGCUCGGAAUCACUGGGCGUAAAGGGUGCGUAGGCGGGUCUUUAAGUCAGGGGUGAAAUCCUGGAGCUCAACUCCAGAACUGCCUUUGAUACUGAGGAUCUUGAGUUCGGGAGAGGUGAGUGGAACUGCGAGUGUAGAGGUGAAAUUCGUAGAUAUUCGCAAGAACACCAGUGGCGAAGGCGGCUCACUGGCCCGAUACUGACGCUGAGGCACGAAAGCGUGGGGAGCAAACCGGG